UACCACAUCCAAGGAAGGCAGCAGGCACGCAAAUUACCCACUCCCGGCACGGGGAGGUAGUGACAAAAAAUAACGAUACGGGACUCAUCCGAGGCCCCGUAAUCGGAAUGAGAACACCCUAAAUCCUUUAACGAGGAUCUAUUGGAGGGCAAGUCUGGUGCCAGCAGCCGCGGNNNNNNNNCUUAAUUGGUUCUGCGUUCCACGCUGUCGGUUCACCGCCUGUCGGUGCAACUGGCAUGCCGUGGCAUGUCCYGUCGGUGGCUUCACAGGCUUCGCGGCGCGCCCUAUGCGUCAACUCGUGUAGGUAGUUGCGCCGCGUUGUUCUUGUAGGCNGGCUCAAUCCUGCCGCGGUGCUCUUUACCNAGUGUCGGGGUAGGCCGACACUGUUUACUUUGAACAAANUAGAGUGCUUCAAGCAGGCUCUGAAMSCAGCCUGAAUAWUGGUGCAUGGAAUAAUKGRACAGGACCUUGGUUYUAUUUUGUUGGUUUUAGGAAUCCAAGGUAAUGAUCAAUAAGGACAGGCGGGGGCAUUCGUAUUGCGACGUUAGACUUGGCAAAUGCUUUCGCNNNNAAAUUCUUGGACCGUCGCAAGACGCACUAGAGCGAAAGCAUUUGCCAAGUAUGUCUUAAUUGAUCAAGAACGAAAGUUAGAGGUUCGAAGGCGAUCAGAUACCGCCCUAGUUCUAACCAUAAACGAUGCCAGCCAGCGAUCCGCCGAUGUUCCUCCGAUGACUCGGCGGGGAGCUUUCCCCGGGAAACCAAAGCUUUUGGGUUCCGGGGGAAGUAUGGUUGCAAAGCU
rnacentral:rRNA from 1 species